rnacentral:rRNA from 1 species
CCUACGGGUGGCAGCAGUGAGGAAUAUUGGUCAAUGGGCGCGAGCCUGAACCAGCCAAGUAGCGUGAAGGAUGACUGCCCUACGGGUUGUAAACUUCUUUUAUAAAGGAAUAAAGUGAGGCACGUGUGCCUUUUUGUAUGUACUUUAUGAAUAAGGAUCGGCUAACUCCGUGCCAUCAGCCGCUGUAAUACGGAGGAUCGUAGCGUUAUCCGGAUUUAUUGGGGUUAAAGGGUGCGUAGGUGGGUUGUUAAGUCAGUUGUUAAAGUUUGCGGCUCAACCGUAAAAUUGCAGUUGAUACUGGCAGCCUUGAGUACAGUUGAGGUAGGCGGAAUUCGUGGUGUAGCGGUGAAAUGCUUAGAUAUCACGAAGAACUCCGAUGGCGAAGGCAGCCUACUAAACUGCCACUGACAUUGAGGCUCGAAAGUGUGGGUAUCAAACAGGAUUAGAUACCCGAGUAGUC